rnacentral:rRNA from 1 species
CCUACGGGAGGCUGCAGUGAGGAAUAUUGGUCAAUGGACGAGAGUCUGAACCAGCCAAGUAGCGUGAAGGAUGACUGCCCUAUGGGUUGUAAACUUCUUUUAUAUGGGAAUAAAACGUUCCACGUGUGGGAUUUUGUAUGUACCAUACGAAUAAGGAUCGGCUAACUCCGUGCCAGCAGCCGCGGUAAUACGGAGGAUCCGAGCGUUAUCCGGAUUUAUUGGGUUUAAAGGGAGCGUAGGUGGAUUGUUAAGUCAGUUGUGAAAGUUUGCGGCUCAACCGUAAAAUUGCAGUUGAAACUGGCAGUCUUGAGUACAGUAGAGGUGGGCGGAAUUCGUGGUGUAGCGGUGAAAUGCUUAGAUAUCACGAAGAACUCCGAUUGCGAAGGCAGUUCACUGGACUGCAACUGACACUGAGGCUCGAAAGUGUGGGUAUCAAACAGGAUUAGAUACCCCAGUAGUC